GAGUUUGAUCCUGGCUCAGAACGAACGGUGGCGGCGUGGAUAAGACAUGCAAGUCGAACGGGACUUUCAUUGUAGCAAUAUGAUGAAAGUUCAGUGGCGCAAGGGUGCGUAACACGUGGGAAAUCUGCCGAGAAGUGGGGGAUAGCUCGCCGAAAGGCGAAUUAAUACCGCAUGUGGUCAGCGAGGACAUCCUCGCGAAACCAAAGCCGGGGCAACCUGGUGCUUCUUGAUGAUCCCGCGGCCUAUCAGCUAGUUGGCGGGGUAAAAGCCCACCAAGGCUAUGACGGGUAGCUGGUCUGAGAGGACGACCAGCCACACUGGAACUGAGACACGGUCCAGACACCUACGGGUGGCAGCAGUCGAGAAUUUUUCUCAAUGGGGGAAACCCUGAAGGAGCGACGCCGCGUGGAGGAUGAAGGUCUUCGGAUUGUAAACUCCUGUCAUUUGGGAACAAACCCUCCGGUUAACUGCCGGAAGGCUGAUAGUACCAGAAGAGGAAGGGACGGCUAACUGUGUGCCAGCAGCCGCGGUAAUACAGAGGUCCCAACCGUUGUUCGGAUUCAUUGGGCGUAAAGGGUGCGUAGGCGGCGGGGCAAGUCAGGUGUGAAAUCUUGGGGCUCAACCCCGAAACUGCACUUGAUACUGCUUUGCUUGAGUACUGGAGGGGAGACUGGAAUUUACGGUGUAGCAGUGAAAUGCGUAGAUAUCGUAAGGAAGACCAGUGGCGAAGGCGAGUCUCUGGACAGUUACUGACGCUGAGGCACGAAGGCCAGGGGAGCAAACGGGAUUAGAUACCCCGGUAGUCCUGGCAGUAAACGGUGCACGUUUGGUGUGGGAGGAUUCGACCCCUUCCGUGCCGGAGCUAACGCGUUAAACGUGC
rnacentral:rRNA from 1 species